AAAAUCAGCCUCUGCAAGAUGCAGGUGUAGCAGAAAGCCCCCUUUUCCUCUUGCGUGCAUUUGCUUUCCCCUCUUUGGAUAUGUUUCUCCUCUUAUUAUUCUUAUUAUUUCUUCCUUCCUCUUUAUUUCACUAUAAGAUAAGGAAUUGUGUUUUAAAGUUUGUAUGUGUGUAUUUUAUAGCUCCCCUUGUAUUUUGGCAUUUUUAUCUAUUUGCGUGACAUGGCAUUACUCUUGUAGCUUAUGUUUUAUACUCUUCACCUUUUAACUAAAUGUGUUUUAGUUUUAGAAGUAAGUUAUACACUGUAACAACGUUAACAAGGGCAGGAAUCAAACUGCCACUUCCCCAUAUCAGGUGGGCCCCUGAAAGAGGAGUGAAUCAGCGAUUGAAUGCGUAACACAGUAGCAGGCUUCAGUAACAAGUGGCAAUUAACACUUACAGGAACCGCAGAUCAACCAAGGGAAGAAAUCAAUAGGAGACAACGUAGCAACCGGGAAUUUUCUAAAGUUCCCUAGAAGCCCUGGUCUGAGUUAAUCAAUGUCGGGGACCAACUUUUGGGGCUGAAUAUCUCCAGAUCAACUGCUCCCAGAGCCCUAUUCAUAACAGCGGUAAAUUAAUCAAAAGUCAUCAACGGACUCCCAAACCUGCAUGUACAUGGGGACGACCCCUGGGGCUGACAGAUGCCAUCCAGUAGCCACUGAGGGGGAAGUCCCACGAGGGUCAACGACCCCUGGAUUGGCAAACCUGAAAACUGGGGAGUCACCAAAGUCUGCCAAGGACAGAUAAAAAGCAGUGAAAAGUGACCCUCGGCGGCACCCUCUUGAUCUCCAACUUGACCAGCACCUGACCUGUCCAGCCAGAAGGACCAGCCGGCGACCCGCUUCUGGAGGAUAACACCACGCUG